AGCAGCCGCGGUAAUUCCAGCUCCAAUAGCGUAUAUUAAAGUUGUUGCAGUUAAAAAGCUCGUAGUUGAAUUUCGGGAUCAAUUUAUCGGUCGUGCCUACGGUAUGAACUGGUACUAUUGGUUUCUCCCUUCUGACGAAGCAUGAUGUCAUUAAUUUGGUGUCGUGGGGAAUCAGGACUGUUACUUUGAAAAAAUUAGAGUGUUUAAAGCAAGCAUUAGCUUGAAUACAUUAGCAUGGAAUAAUGAAAUAGGACGUUUGAUCCUAUUUCGUUGGUUUCUAGGAUCGACGUAAUGAUUAAUAGGGAUAGUUGGGGGCAUUAGUAUUCAAUUGUCAGAGGUGAAAUUCUUGGAUUUAUUGAAGACUAACUACUGCGAAAGCAUUUGCCAAGGAUGUUUUCAUUAAUCAAGAACGAAAGUUAGGGGAUCGAAGACGAUCAGAUACCGUCGUAGUCUUAACCAUAAACUAUGCCGACUAGGGAUCGGAUGAUGUUAAUUUUUUAAUGACUCAUUCGGCGCCUUACG
rnacentral:rRNA from 1 species